rnacentral:tRNA from 1 species
CCGGCUCCUGGAGGACGCCGGGCGUCUCCUGGGCCUUGCGAGCCUCGAUCGCCACCAGUUCCGCGCUGCAGGAACCGGUCC